CGGGCUUCUUCCAGAGCAAGUGUUUCAGGAGACCCAGGUGAAAGCUCAAAGACUUCUUUUGACCUCAAAAGGAGGAUACUACACAAAGGUGUAAAUAUUGGGAGGUGCAGUUCAUUGGUGGGGGGUGGAGAUGAGGGAGAAAUCUUUGGUGACUAGCUAUCAGAUGAAGGAAAGUAGAAUCUGCAGCUAAAAAUCAAGUUAUCUGUUAGUCCACCCGACUGACAGGGCUCUAUUUUUAAAAACAAGUCCAAUUGCCUGUAAUACAGCCUUUAUUUUUUGGUUAAGUAUAGCAGAUCCGGAGUUCCUUUUAAUUAAACAAAAGAUAAAAAGAAAAACUUUGAACUUAAAUGACUUGUAUCUCUUUAAACUGUAUUUAAUCUCUUCUUUAUUAGAGCAUAUGACGGCUCUGUUGAUGGCUGGAGGCAGAUCUACAACCAUUCUAGGGCUGACCAGCCAAAACAGGCUUGUGACCUCUCACCUACUUUGAAUGAUUCACUCAGUCUAUUCACCGCCCAGGAAUGUUGGCUUUGGCAAAGAACCACAAGUCUCUUAAAAUAAAUACAACUGGGCUUUCAUCUCAUAGCGAUCGCUGCUGGCUGCAUAUUUCACACACUGUAUGGCAGGAUAUGUUAAAUUAAAAUCAUAAUCUCCCCAGUGAAAUUCAGGGCCUGGUUAAGCCACUCGAGAAUUACUCAUGCAUUAACUUCCAAUGAAGAAUAUGAGUAAGAUCUUCAGCCAUUAACUCUCCCAGGUAGUGGUCUCAUCCUCUCCCAAUUAUCUAACCCACAGUAAAUUAAACCCAUCCAGAAGAAUGUCAUUUGGGAAGGAAGAAGUCAAUGCCGACGCUCUUUUAAAUAUGUAGGUCCUGGAGAGGUGAGCUUGAACGACCUUGUCAGUUCUCUCAAUCAUAUCUCAAAGUUUAACUUAAAUCUUGCUAAAUCAAUAUGCCCAAUCCAUAUGGAUUAACAAUAUGCUCAACAUUGUGUUAAAUGUUUUGAAUAGUUCAAAGAAUAUAUGACACUGAGCCUC
rnacentral:lncRNA from 1 species